rnacentral:rRNA from 1 species
GUGCCAGCAGCCGCGGUAAUACAGAGGGUGCAAGCGUUAAUCGGAAUUACUGGGCGUAAAGCGCGCGUAGGUGGUUGGUUAAGUUGGAUGUGAAAUCCCCGGGCUCAACCUGGGAACUGCAUUCAAAACUGACGAGCUAGAGUAUGGUAGAGGGUGGUGGAAUUUCCUGUGUAGCGGUGAAAUGCGUAGAUAUAGGAACGAACACCAGUGGCGAAGGCGACCACCUGGACUGAUACUGACACUGAGGUGCGAAAGCGUGGGGAGCAAACAGGAUUAGAAACCCUGGUAGUCC